AAAGUCGUAACAAGGUUUCCGUAGGUGAACCUGCGGAAGGAUCAUUAUUGAAUGAACAUGGAGUCGGUUGUCGCUGGCCCCUUCACUGGGGCAUGUGCACGCCUUCUCUAUUCAUCCACACACACCUGUGAACUUGUGAGACGGAUAGUAGUCCCCUCGGGGGUGAGCUCCGUCUGCUAUACAUAAACUCCAGUAAAUAAAUUUGAAUGUCAUCUGAUGUAACGCAUCUAUAAACUAAGUUUCAACAACGGAUCUCUUGGCUCUC
rnacentral:misc_RNA from 1 species